rnacentral:rRNA from 1 species
AGAGUUUGAUCAUGGCUCAGAAUCAACGCUGGCGGCGUGCCUCAGACAUGCAAGUCGAACGCGAAAGAGGUCUUCGGAUCUUGAGUAGAGUGGCGUCCGGGUGAGUAACACGUAGGUAAUCUACCUUCGGGUGGGGAAUAACCCAGGGAAACUUGGGCUAAUACCGCAUAAUGCAGCGGCACCACAUGGUGACAGUUGUUAAAGCGGGGGAUCUUAGGACCUCGCGCCUGAAGAGGAGCCUGCGGCGGAUUAGCUAGUUGGUGAGGUAAUGGCUCACCAAGGUGACGAUCCGUAGCCGGCCUGAGAGGGCGGUCGGCCACACUGACACUGACAUACGGGUCAGACUCCUACGGGAGGCAGCAGUCGGGAAUUUUGGGCAAUGGGCGAAAGCCUGACCCAGCAACGCCGCGUGAAGGAUGAAAUCCUUCGGGAUGUAAACUUCGCAAGAGUGGAAAGAAUUAGUAGGGGUUAAUACCCCCUAUGAUGACGGUACCAUUUGUAAGCUCCGGCUAACUCCGUGCCAGCAGCCGCGGUAAUACGGGGGGAGCAAGCGUUGUUCGGAUUUACUGGGCGUAAAGGGCGCGUAGGCGGCCACUGCAAGUCAGUUGUGAAAUCUCCGGGCUUAACUCGGAAAGGUCAACUGAUACUGCAGGGCUAGAGUGCGGAAGGGGCAACUGGAAUUCUCGGUGUAGCGGUGAAAUGCGUAGAUAUCGAGAGGAACACCUGCGGCGAAGGCGGGUUGCUGGGCCGACACUGACGCUGAUGCGCGAAAGCCAGGGGAGCGAACGGGAUUAGAUACCCCAGUAGUCC